UUUUAAACAUAUUUGGCAACAAUAUACUAGAAUUGGAACUAUAAAGAGAAGAUUAGCAUGAACCCUGUGCAAGGAUGAUACACAAGGAUGAUAUGCAAAUUUGU